CCCAGACUCCUACGGGAGGCAGCAGUGGGGAAUAUUGCACAAUGGGGGAAACCCUGAUGCAGCGACGCCGCGUGAGUGAAGAAGUAAUUCGUUAUGUAAAGCUCUCUCAGCAGGGAAGAAAAUGACGGUACCUGAGUAAGAAGCCCCGGCUAACUACGUGCCAGCAGCCGCGGUAAUACGUAGGGGGCAAGCGUUAUCCGGAAUUACUGGGUGUAAAGGGAGCGUAGACGGUUAAGCAAGUCUGGAGUGAAAGGCGGGGGCCCAACCCCCGGACUGCUUUGGAAACUGUGUAACUAGAGUACAGGAGGGGCAGGCGGAAUUCCUGGUGUAGCGGUGAAAUGCGUAGAUAUCAGGAGGAACACCGGCGGCGAAGGCGGCCUGCUGGACUGAAACUGACGUUGAGGCUCGAAAGCGUGGGGAGCAAACAGGAUUAGAUACCCUUGUAUG
rnacentral:rRNA from 1 species